AUGUUUGAAUUAGAAUGUGAUGCUAGCGGCAUUGGUUUAGGUGGUGUUCUAUUGCAAGAAGGCAAACCAGUAGCAUACUUUAGUGAACAACUCAGUGGGCCUAGUCUGAAUUAUUCAACAUAUGAUAAAGAACUUUAUGCACUAGUUCGGACUUUGGAGACAUGGCAACAUUAUUUAUGGCCUAAGGAGUUUGUUAUACAUUCUGAUCAUGAAUCACUCAAGCAUAUUAGAAGUCAAAGCAAACAGAACCGUAGACAUGCAAAAUGGGUUGAAUUUAUUGAAUCUUUUCCUUAUGUUAUUAAGCACAAGAAAGGGAAGGAGAAUGUUAUUGCCGAUGCAUUGUCUAGACGCUAUACCAUGUUAUCACAACUUGACUUCAAAAUUUUUGGACUUGAAACUAUAAAAGAGCAAUACGCUAAUGAUGUCGAUUUUAAAGAUAUAUUGCUCAAU
rnacentral:rRNA from 1 species